UAGGGAAUUUUGCGCAAUGGACGAAAGUCUGACGCAGCAACGCCGCGUGAGGGAUGAAGGUCUUCGGAUUGUAAACCUCUGUUGAAUGGGAAAAAAAGUAGCAAUAUUUGAUGGUACCAUUUGAGGAAGCACCGGCUAACUACGUGCCAGCAGCCGCGGUAAUACGUAGGGUGCAAGCGUUGUUCGGAAUCACUGGGCGUAAAGAGAGCGUAGGCGGGAUUGUAAGUUAGAAGUUUAAUACAAGGGCUUAACCCUUGACCGGCUUUUAAUACUGCAGUUCUUGAAUGUGGGAGAGGGCAAUGGAAUUCCAGGUGUAGCGGUGGAAUGCGUAGAUAUCUGGAAGAACACCAGUAGCGAAGGCGGUUGCCUGGCCUAACAUUGACGCUGAGGCUCGAAAGCU
rnacentral:rRNA from 1 species